UCCGGUUGAUCCUGCCGGCGGUCACUGCUAUCGAGUUUCGACUAAGCCAUGCGAGUCACAGGCCGAAAGGUACUGGCGGACGGCUCAGUAACACGCGGAUAAUCUACCCUCAGGUGGGGUAUACCCUUGGGAAACUGAGGCUAAUCCCCCAUAGGUCCUGUAAACUGGAAUGUUUUAGGACUGAAAGUCACGGCGCCUGAGGAUGAGUCUGCGGCCUAUCAGGUAGUAGGUGGGGUAAAGGCCCACAUAGCCUAUGACGGGUACGGGCCCUGAGAGGGGUAGCCCGGAGAUGGGUUCUGAGACACGAACCCAGGCCCUACGGGGCGCAGCAGGCGCGAAACCUUCGCAAUGCGCGCAAGCGCGACGAGGGGAACUCGAGUGCUAUUAUCCUUUUGGGUGAUAGCUUUUCUCGAUCCUAAAAAGAUCGGGGAAUAAAAGCUGGGUAAGACGGGUGCCAGCCGCCGCGGUAAUACCCGCAGCUCAAGUGGUGGCCACUAUUAUUGAGCCUAAAGCGUCCGUAGCCGGUCUUGUAAAUCUCUGGGUAAAUCCCAUCGCUCAACGGUGGGAAGACUGGAGAGACUGCAAGACUAGGGAUCGGGUGAGGUAAGAGGUACUCCUGGGGUAGGGGUAAAAUCCUGUAAUCCUGGGGGGACGACCGGUGGCGAAGGCGUCUUACUAGAACGACUCCGACGGUGAGGGACGAAGGCUAGGGGAGCAAACCGGAUUAGAUACCCGGGUAGUCCUAGCUGUAAACGCUGCCCACUUGGUGUUGCCCUUUCGUAGGGAAGGGGCAGUGCCGGAGCGAAGGUGUUAAGUGGGCCGCUUGGGGAGUAUGGUCGCAAGGCUGAAACUUAAAGGAAUUGGCGGGAGAGCGCCGCAACGGGAGGAGCGUGCGGUUUAAUUGGAUUCAACGCCGGG
rnacentral:rRNA from 1 species